rnacentral:rRNA from 1 species
UCCACCGAUUGACUAAGGUUUCCAGAGGAAGGCUCGUCCGCUCUGGGUUAGUCGGGUCCUAAGCUGAGGCCGACAGGCGUAGGCGAUGGAUAACAGGUUGAUAUUCCUGUACCACCUAUAAUCGUUUUAAUCGAUGGGGGGACGCAGUAGGAUAGGCGAAGCGUGCGAUUGGAUUGCACGUCUAAGCAGUAAGGCUGAGUAUUAGGCAAAUCCGGUACUCGUUAAGGCUGAGCUGUGAUGGGGAGAAGACAUUGUGUCUUCGAGUCGUUGAUUUCACACUGCCGAGAAAAGCCUCUAGAUAGAAAAUAGGUGCCCGUACCGCAAACCGACACAGGUAGUCAAGAUGAGAAUUCUAAGGUGAGCGAGCGAACUCUCGUUAAGGAACUCGGCAAAAUGACCCCGUAACUUCGGGAGAAGGGGUGCUCUUUAGGGUUAACGCCCAGAAGAGCCGCAGUGAAUAGGCCCAAGCGACUGUUUAUCAAAAACACAGGUCUCUGCUAAACCGUAAGGUGAUGUAUAGGGGCUGACGCCUGCCCGGUGCUGGAAGGUUAAGAGGAGUGGUUAGCUUCUGCGAAGCUACGAAUCGAAGCCCCAGUAAACGGCGGCCGUAACUAUAACGGUCCUAAGGUAGCGAAAUUCCUUGUCGGGUAAGUUCCGACCCGCACGAAAGGCGUAACGAUUUGGGCACUGUCUCAACGAGAGACUCGGUGAAAUCAUAGUACCUGUGAAGAUGCAGGUUACCCGCGACAGGACGGAAAGACCCCGUGGAGCUUUACUGUAGCCUGAUAUUGAAAUUCGGCACAGCUUGUACAGGAUAGGUAGGAGCCUUUGAAACGUGAGCGCUAGCUUACGUGGAGGCGCUGGUGGGAUACUACCCUAGCUGUGUUGGCUUUCUAACCCGCACCACUUAUCGUGGUGGGAGACAGUGUCAGGCGGGCAGUUUGACUGGGGCGGUCGCCUCCUAAAAGGUAACGGAGGCGCUCAAAGGUUCCCUCAGAAUGGUUGGAAAUCAUUCAUAGAGUGUAAAGGCAUAAGGGAGCUUGACUGCGAGACCUACAAGUCGAGCAGGGUCGAAAGACGGACUUAGUGAUCCGGUGGUUCCGCAUGGAAGGGCCAUCGCUCAA